rnacentral:misc_RNA from 1 species
UUUUUUAUCUUACAUAGGUUAACAUAUCAGGUACAAGUUGCUACACGGUGUAAAUAGGCGAAAGCGCAGGAUGUGGUGUAACCGGUUAUUUUAUCGUGGGAUAACUGCCUUUCAUACCAGUAUAAAGCUGGGUAUGCACCUAGUAAUGAUAUAAAAGUAUCGCCACGGAUAUUGUUCGCUCCAUGACAGAGUAGGGUUUCUUCACUUUGUGCAUCGUGCAGUGGUCACGAACAAAAUAAAGUUAGUAUAAAAUUUCGUAGUGUAGUUUAUUUUAAUUUAUUGAGUUAGGGCACAGCAGGAAAUAAAUAAAAAUGUGGAAAAUCAAAAUCAAAAAUAAUCAUAAUAAAACAGCCCGACUGGGGAAGUACCUCGAUCUUACAGAAGAUAACAGAUAAAUAAUACUGCUUUCAAGCAGUUUUGUGUUCCUGUGUUGAGUAAUGCGGGGGGUCGGCAACGA